AAAAAAUAUAUAAAAUGGAGCAACCAGUAACUAAGCAACCUUGAAAACAUACCUCGAAAAAUAAAAACAUAUCUUCGUCCAAAUUAUUUGGCCCGGAUUAGUUCCCCAAGAAGAUUUGUCAAUGAAGUUCUCAACUCAUUUCUGCUGCAUGAUCAUCGUCACCUUCGUUUUCCUCGCGCUUAAUGUAUUUUCAUCAAGCACAGUUCCUGCAGAUAGAAGACCUUAUUAUCCACCACCACCGUGGGUGGCAGUCAAACCACCAGUAAUCCACCAUUGACUAGAAGGUGGUGCCUUCUAAACAAACACAUUCUCUCAGGAAAUGCUUAUUGGAAAUUAAGCUGAUAGUGAUGGUUAAGCUUAAAGCUAGAGAAGAUGUGUACUUAUAUGUGUGAACAAGUUUCAGCUUCCCAAUAAUCCAUGAUUAUCAAGUGCUGAAUCAAUCAAUGUUCCAAAUGCAAGAAUGAGUAAAUGUUUUAAUUUUAGCA